CGUCAGUUGAUAAUAACUUUGUUGUGCUAAGUAGCUCGUAUUCAGACACCCUUGUGCGAUGCUGCCUGUCCCAGAUCCACCAUGGUGGUGAAGUGUUCAUGGUCGACGGCCGCUUGCAGGACUGCUCAUAUUGGAUGCGGUACAUGAACUGCACAACUGAUGACACCUAGGAGAACAUGGUUGCCUUCGAAUGCAAGGGGGCCAUCUACUACCGCACGUCCAGGGUGGUGAAAGCCAGAGAGCAGCCGGGGGGCUGAGAGCAGCUGGAGAGCAACCGGAGAGCACCAGAAGACCAGCCGGAAAGUGGUGCAAGACAUAGGACCAAGGAGUUCAAGCACUUCGUGCAUCCAAUGGGGGCGCAGCACGUCCUCACGGCUUCCUACCACCCCAGCUCCAAUGGGUUGGCAGAGCAUUUCAUCCGGACCUUUAAGAAUGCACUCUACAAAGACAGCACAGGAGAAACACUGCAGUAUGUGCAACCACCCUGAGGGGCACCUUCACCUGGUGUCGCCACCAGGAUUAGCUGUUACAGAGGCUUGCAGAGGGCAUUACCCCUAGGCAUGGAACAGCUGGCGAAGUUACGACCAGCAAGUUCCUGGUUUAUCCUGAGACUGGCGACGCACCAAUUCCUUCCAGUCCACAACCGUCCAGGGUAACUCCGGUUACACGACAGGCAACACCAGCACACCCUGAGGUGAUU
rnacentral:lncRNA from 1 species